GGACUACAAGGGUUUCUAAUCCUGUUUGCUACCCACGCUUUCGUGUCUCAGCGUCAGUUGCGGUCCAGAGAGCCGUCUACACCACAGGUGUUCCUCCUGAUAUCUACGCAUUUCACCGCUACACCAGGAAUUCCACUCUCCCAUCCCGCACUCUAGCCCUCCAGUCUUCGGCGCACCCUCCCGGUUAAGCCGGGAGAUUUCACACCAAACUUAGGGGGCCGCCUACACACCCUUUACGCCCAGUAACUCCGAACAACGCUUGCUGCCUACGUAUUACCGCGGCUGCUGGCAC
rnacentral:rRNA from 1 species